AGGUACAGGAGGGAGAAGUCUCUCUUGCCAGAAGUGACCCUCUGGGAGCACCAGAUAUGAAGGGAGAUAGUUUCUGCCCAUCCAGUGCUCAGCACAAGUGGCUUUUCUGCAGUCUUCUGUGCUUAGCCACCUCCCACAGCUCUCCAGUCGGCAGGUUCCAGCUGCAGCCUGAGAGCCUGGCUCAGACAUUGGCUGUUAUCCCAGCAGAAGUCCAGGCCUCACAGCUGGAAGAGAAGAUCACUUCAGUGUGGAGAGCACCUUCUUGGUGAGUUUCAUGUCUGUUUCUUGGAGACUUAUGUGUUGAGAACGCCUAGAUUCUUAUCAGAAUAAAAAUAAAAUACUGAAAAUGAGAGAGAUGAGCUCCAGAUGCAAUUGGACAUGGAUUGCAUGUGGUCUGUCUCCAGCUCAGGGAGCUCAGGUUCCCAGGGCCUUGCUUGGAAGUGCUCCUCAGCCCAUGGAGGUAAUGUUCUUUAGGGCAAUGUGAAGAAGAAUGAAAUCCAAGAGGGCUGAAGAGGUUGAAAAGAACUUUCUGGACAAGGGAAAGUUUCCGCUGGCUUCCAAACACUUGGGUAGAGGUAUCCUUGAAGUUGGUCAUGAAGACUGGAUUAAGAUGGCACAUGAGGAGUUGCUCACUACAUGAAUUUUCCAACAGCAAAGACGGCACAGGGACCCACCUAAGUUGGCUUCUUUUGGAACCACAGGUUGAAGGACUUGCCUUCCUGGUAAGCAAGGAGUGGCCAUGCCCCAGGGCCUGGGCAGGUUCUGAGAACAAGGGAAUAGGUUAUUACAGGUCAGUGAAGAGCAAGUAUUGAAACAAGUCUUGGUGUUGGUAGGUGCCACAUAUGUACAAGUGAAGGUGGUCUCUGGAGCAAAGAGACUUUGGCCUCCAGGUAAUAAGGAAAAGUUUAUUUUGCAUUGCAAUUUCAGAUUAGGGCUUAAUAUUCCAUUGUAUGAGUUUAUCACUAAAUGUUCAUUUUUGUAUUUCCAAGAACAUUUGCAGCUAUUACCAAUGACUCCCUUGGGAUCACAGGAGCAAAGAUGCCAGACCUAGUUCCUGGGUUCAUUGACCCCUUCCUGCCCCAUAAGCAAGGUCAGCUUUCAGCCCUCUCUCCUCCUGUGCAGCUCUGAGCACAUAAGUACUUUCAUGUAUUCCCACAAGUAUGUUUACAGGCCUGAGUGAUUCUAACAUCAACA